AGUGCACAGAGUCUACGCUCUGACAAAGGCAAACUAUGACUUGUAAAUGUAAAAUAUAAUAUCUGUUGGUCUUCAGUCUUCACUUCAUGUUUGAUUACCAACUCAUUCCUGAGCCACUGCGAGUUAACCAAACAACUACAAGCAAAAACAAAGAAAGGGGAUCAUGAGGUUUCAAUGUGCCUGUUUGCUGCUGGUGCUGUUUUCUCCUGCUGUGCUCUGUAAAACUGAUGACAAGCUCAAAACUAAACAUGUCGUUGUGAGAAAGGGCUCCUGUGAUCAAAUGAUGAAAAACAUCAAUGGCAGAAAUGAAUGCAAGGAGAAAAACACUUUCAUCAAAGAAGAGUAUUUGGAAUCAGUUCUGACUGUGUGUGUAAAAACAAACACAGGAUUCAUCCCCAGACAGUAUGACGUUAUUAAAUGUAAACAAUCGAGCAAGAACCCUUGUUCAUACAAGUACACUGAAACCAAA